AUGCCCAGUGAUUAUGAAAAGACGCGUUAUUACGAGGACAAAUACUGGAGGCCCUUUCUUUCCUCUCUUCUCUUCCCUCUUUUUCUCCCUCUUUCUUUUUCUCCUCUUUUCUCCCCCUCUUGUUCUCUUCCUAAUUCUGUCUAUUGGGUUGGCCAGUGUCCUUUGAGCAAGAUUAUGAGAUCUGAGGGCUC